UUAGCGUUCCAAGAAAAUAUAAAUUGCCACUCACAUUAGGGUUCUUCCUAUCAUUCAAAACAUGGCUACAAACCUGACUGCCACUGCAGACAUAUUGCCUGCAUGUGUGAUUCACAAAAUACUCUGUCAUCUUAGUUAUGGAGAAGCAACCUUGAUGAGAAUUCUCUCCAAAACAUGGCUACAAGCCUGGUCGACUCUUCCCAGCUUGGAAUUCAGAGUUGGUUAUUUCGAGGACACGGAAAUAAUGGACUCAAUCAUGGAGAGUUACAGGGAUAACAAAAUCUUUAUUGACAAGUUUGAAUGUUCAAACUGUUUAAAAUCCAAUUCUCGUUAUCAAGUUUUCCCUCUGAUUCAUAAGUGGCUUUUCAUCGCUCUUCAGAAUGGCGUAAAAGAUAUAGUGUAUGGAGAUCCUCACCAUUUGAUUCGAUCGUACCCUUUUCCUAUUUUCAAUGUCUUGGCAGGAAAUUCUUUAAGAGAAUUGGUUCUGGAGGGUUGUAAUCUGAAGCAUGUUCGGUUUCCAAGUGGCGUGGCGAACUAUGGUUCUUUGAGAAAGCUUUCUCUAACUAAGGUCAAUUUAGAUGAAAAUAUGCUUCAGUUUCUACUUAAUAGUUGUCCCUUGAUUGUCUCUUUCAUCCUUGAGCGUUGUUCGGGGUUGCGAAAGAUUGAGCUGUUGAGUCUUCAAAAGAUCAAGUCAGUUUCCAUAACGACAAAUAUAAACCAACGUGCUAAAAUUCAAGCACCAACUCUUGAACACUUGUCUUAUUCUGGUUUUUGAUGGAAAAAUUUGCAUGUUGUUGAAUGUCAGAAUUUGAAAUCUUUAGUUCUAUCAAAUGUAAGUAUAUCUGAUGGAUUUCUCCAGGACCUUAUUUCUAGAUCUCAAUCCCUUAAGGCCUUGAAGAUUCAGAAUUGUGAGCGCAUACGGGAAAUUGAUUCUUCAAAUUUGGUUUCACUUGAGUACAUGGGAAUUCAAAUUCCUGAACUUAAAAUGGAUAAUGCAAUGGGAUCAACAUGAAAGAAUUGCAGCUUCACCCCAGAAUUGCGACCCCCCAAGUGGACAUUUUACAUGUCAACAUUAGAUGCCCGACUGUGAUUUGGUCAACGUUUGUGGAUGCUUUGCUAUGGAGUUGUCA